AGAGUUUGAUCAUGGCUCAGGACGAACGCUGGCGGCGUGCCUAACACAUGCAAGUCGAACGGAGAUAAGCGCUGAUGAUUUAGCUUGCUAGAGAUUCUUGCUUAUCUGAGUGGCGGACGGGUGAGUAACGCGUGGGUAACCUGCCCUGUACAGGGGGAUAACAGCCAGAAAUGGCUGCUAAUAUCGCAUAAGCGCACAGGAAGACAUCUUCCGG
rnacentral:rRNA from 1 species